UACGUAGGCAGCGAGCGUUGUUCGGAGUUACUGGGCGUAAAGAGUGCGUAGGCGGUUUGCUAAGUUUGGUGUGAAAUCUCCCGGCUUAACUGGGAGGGUGCGCCGAAGACUGGAAGGCUUGAGUAUGGGAGAGGUAAGCGGAAUUCCUGGUGUAGCGGUGAAAUGCGUAGAUAUCAGGAGGAACACCUGCGGUGUAGACGGCUUACUGGACCAUAACUGACGCUGAGGCACGAAAGCGUGGGUAGCAAACAGG
rnacentral:rRNA from 1 species